rnacentral:rRNA from 1 species
UACAGAGGUCUCAAGCGUUGUUCGGAAUCACUGGGCGUAAAGGGUGCGUAGGCUGCACGGUAAGUCAGGUGUGAAAGCCCGGAGCUCAACUCCGGAAUUGCACCCGAUACUGCCGUGCUUGAGGACUGGAGAGGAGUCUGGAAUUCACAGUGGAGCAGUGAAAUGCGUAGAUAUUGUGAGGAACACUAGUGGCGAAGGCGAGACUCUGGACAGCUCCUGACGCUGAGGCACGAAGGCCAGGGGAGCAAACGGG